GCAUCUAAACUUUGGGGACAUGUGAUAAAAUUGAAAUGAUACGAAGAAGAUUAGCAUAACCCCUACACAAGAAAUUUUUAGUUUAUAUACACAUAAAUUGUCA